rnacentral:tRNA from 11 species
GGGGAUUAGCUCAGUUGGGAGAGCGCCUGCCUUGCAAGCAGGAGGUCACGAGUUCGAAUCUCGUAUUCUCC